UCUUUGAAUGUCUAGUUCAUGCGCAUGCCUGGAGGAGACUCCCAUGGCCCUGCAGAGGGAGUGGUCUGGCGGGAAAGCAGACACAACCCACCCCAGACCUGUGGUUUCCCUGCAACAACCCUAUUGGCUUUCUGGAGGACACUUUUCCUGGAAGAAAGCAGUGACUCAAGCACAAGUUCUUGCCUGGCCUCACUUCAGGGUCUCUUCCUGCUGGUCAGCCCUGGGCAGAGAUCAUCUCCCUCAUCACCAGGCCCUUGCUGCCUACCUGGUCCUUCUAACUGCACUUUGGGUUUGGAACACUUUAAACAGUAGGAUGACUGCAGGCCAAGAGCUCAGGCUACAGGACGGACAGCAGAAGACAGAGUCAGUGCUGGACAGACUGGACAGGAGCAGCAUAAGCCAGGCGCUAUGGAAUGUUCGGUGAAACGUUUGAGGACCUACAAGGCCUGCCCCACAGUCUUCCAGCCUCCGACUCUCUGGCCGUCAGCAUGGAAGUCCCACUGUUUUUCUUAUUCUUGUCUUGAGAGCCUUCCCCAACCAUGUAGUGAAGAUGGACGCAGCCGUCACACCCCUUGUCAACUUGCUGUAGCUGAGAUGAGAGGUGGUGAGCAGGGAGCGGCCACCCAGCUUUAAUCAACUUAAAGCAGUUCCUGGCCCUAGAAGGGAAAUGGAAAUGGAGACUCAGUUGACUUGCACCCUAGAGGAGGCUGAGCAAGUCCACUGCAGAGAGGUCAUUCCCUAGGCUGGUUGGUGGAACCUUAAGGACUCCUGGGAAGGCUCCAACUGGUCCAGUUUCUUCUAUCACACAACAGAAGGGCUCCCUCCCUCCCAGUGGUGAUUUCCUAUGGACCAGAUUCCAGCACAGUGGAGGGCCAGAGCUCAGAGAACAGACCCAGCAGCAUAAGAAGUCUCUAAGGAAGUUCUACCAGUUUCCAGGGGCUGAAGGCAGGACUGGAGAAGAGGCUAGCCAGGCUGCAGAAGUCAAAGGCUCUCACACUGCCAUCUAGCAUGCAUUUACCAUCCUAACCAAUCAUCCUGGGCUCCAGCCACAGAUCUAAGCCACAUCCUGACACUCUGCCCUCUGUGCUCUGUGAUGGCCCAGGGGAGACGCUUAGCCUUGGCCCCUUGUCUGCUGGUGGAGAGGACAGACACCCUUUCUGGACUACAGACAGCUUUUCUUCUGUCUACUCCUAACAGACCAAAAAAGAAGACCUCACCCUGAGCAUCCCUGCCAUGCAAAAUGUGUUCACAGACUGCCAACAGGCUGGCUCUAGCAAGCAGACAUGGACGGAGGUGGAGGUUCAGCCUGGCAGCUUCUCCCCAAAGCCAUGGAGAAAGAGCCUUACUUGCCUGGUUACUUCCAGCAAGUUGUCCGGCCUGGCCCAUCUAUUUCCCCUGUUGCCUCUCAGCUGGGUACCCGAGAGCCACCCCAUCUCCAAUAA